rnacentral:rRNA from 1 species
UACGGGGGGAGCAAGCGUUGUUCGGAUUUACUGGGCGUAAAGGGCGCGUAGGCGGCCAGCACAAGUCAGUUGUGAAAUCUCCGAGCUUAACUCGGAAAGGUCAACUGAUACUGCGGGGCUAGGGUGCAGAAGGGGCAACUGGAAUUCUCGGUGUAGCGGUGAAAUGCGUAGAUAUCGAGAGGAACACCUGCGGCGAAGGCGGGUUGCUGGGCUGACACUGACGCUGAGGCGCGAAAGCUAGGGGAGCGAACGGG